rnacentral:tRNA from 2 species
GCGGAAGUGGCGGAACGGCAGACGCGCUUGGUUGAGGGCCAAGUGGGGCAACUCGUGGAGGUUCAAAUCCUCUCUUCCGCACCA